rnacentral:rRNA from 1 species
UACGUAGGGGGCAAGCGUUGUCCGGAUUUAUUGGGCGUAAAGAGUGUGUAGGCGGUCCGGUAAGUCAGCUGUGAAAGUCAAGGGCUCAACCCUUGAAUGCCGGUUGAUACUGUCGGGCUAGAGUCCGGAAGAGGCGAGUGGAAUUCCCGGUGUAGCGGUGAAAUGCGCAGAUAUCGUGAGGAACACCAAUGGCGAAGGCAGCUCGCUGGGACGGUACUGACGCUGAGACGCGAAAGCGUGGGGAGCAAACAGG